UAACUGCAGAGCCACGGGAGUGAAACUUGACAAGUAAAAAGACGAUAUAAUGUUUUAAAAUAUGAGCCGCAACAGCAUACAUUUUGUUAUAAGCCAAUAUAUGUUCGCUAGAGAGGCCCAACUCACUGAAACCUGUCGAGUGAAAGAGUGGAACUUAUGAACUGGUCAGAUCACUGGAGUUGACUGAUGGAGAGGCAGCCCAGUCCAGACCUGUAGAUCCCUGGAGUCCUGAGCUGAAGAUCCUAGAGCCAAGACCUGCCGAACUCACCCUCUUCCUGCCACGGCACAAGGAUAAAUCCAAGGGAUGGAGCCCUGUGGAUAUGUGUUCAUGGGAGAGGCAGAGUGCCGACCCUGGAAAGGCUCAUCCUGCUGUGAAGGCUGUUGUGCACUCGAGAGUCUCCAUAUGGACUUUACUACUGACAAGAUCUGACCAACAUCAGUGCAUGACUGUUAUAGGAUAAGACAGUGUGUGCCUGUGUCUGCAUGUACGCACACAUACAAGCCACACCUGUAAUCAUUAUAUUGAUGUAACAAUACAGUCAGUACAUGUUGCAUAACACAUGUUUUUGCUGUAUGUGGACACAAAGCACACAGUGUUUUACAUUGUGUAAGUGGAAGAAUGUCAGACAGAAUAUCCCCAAAAAUGAGCACAGCAGUUAUUACUGCAAGGAAGGGUUUAUUUAGAGCAACAGUUAAGGUUUAGAGCGAGGAUUAAGGCCAGUUUAAGGUCAUGACUUACCCAUAAA